GUUGGUAGAGCCAUGCGACUGAAAAUCGCAGUGUCGGUGGUUCGAUUCCGCCCCUGGGCACCA
rnacentral:tRNA from 1 species